rnacentral:rRNA from 1 species
GUCUUUUUGAAUUAAAUUUAAAGUCUAACCUGCCCACUGAGAAUUUUAAAUGGCCGCAGUAUUCUAACUGUGCAAAGGUAGCAUAGUCAUUAGUCUUUUAAUUGAAGGCUGGAAUGAAUGGUUGGACGAAAUAUUAACUGUUUCAUUUAAAUUUUUUAUAGAAUUUUAUUUUUUAGUCAAAAAGCUAAAAUAAAUUUAAAAGACGAGAAGACCCUAUAAAUCUUUAUAUUUUGUUUAUUUUAGUUAUAAAGAUUAUUUUUAUUAUAAUAAAUUAAAAUAUUUUAUUGGGGUGAUAUUAAAAUUUAAAAAACUUUUAAUUUUUAAAACCAUUAAUUUAUGAAUAAUUGAUCCAUUAAUAAUGAUUAAAAAUUUAAGUUACUUUAGGGAUAACAGCGUAAUUUUUUUGGAGAGUUCAUAUCGAUAAAAAAGAUUGCGACCUCGAUGUUGGAUUAAGAUAUAAUUUUGGGUGUAGCCGUUCAAAUUUUAAGUCUGUUCGACUUUUAAAUUCUU